rnacentral:rRNA from 1 species
AUACGGAGGGUGCAAGCGUUGUCCGGAUUUAUUGGGUUUAAAGGGUGCGUAGGUGGUUUUUUAAGUCAGUGGUGAAAGCCUACAGCUUAACUGUAGAGGUGCCAUUGAUACUGGGGAACUUGAGUAUGGACGAGGUAGGCGGAAUUUGUGGUGUAGCGGUGAAAUGCAUAGAUACCACAAGGAACACCGAUAGCGAAGGCAGCUUACUGGGCCAUAACUGACACUGAGGCACGAAAGCGUGGGGAGCGAACAGGAUUAGAUACCCUUGUAGUCC